UAAUACGGAGGGUGCAAGCGUUAAUCGGAAUUACUGGGCGUAAAGCGCACGCAGGCGGUUUGUUAAGUCAGAUGUGAAAUCCACGAGCUUAACUUGGGAACUGCAUUUGAAACUGGCAAGCUAGAGUCUUGUAGAGGGGGGUAGAAUUCCAGGUGUAGCGGUGAAAUGCGUAGAGAUCUGGAGGAAUACCGGUGGCGAAGGCGGCCCCCUGGACAAAGACUGACGCUCAGGUGCGAAAGCGUGGGGAGCAAACAGGAUUAGAUACCCUGGUAGUCCACGCUGUAAACGAUGUAGACUUGGAGGUUGUGCCCUUGAGGAGUGGCUUCCGGAGCUAACGCGUUAAGUCGACCGCCUGGGGAGUACGGCCGCAAGGUUAAA
rnacentral:rRNA from 1 species